AUGCUAAAUGGGUUGAAUUCAUUGAGACUUUCCCUUAUGUCAUUAAACACAAGAAGGGUAAAGAAAAUGUUAUUGCUGAUGCAUUGUCUCAUCGUUAUACUAUGCUUUCACAACUUGACUUUAAAAUAUUUGGUUUGGAGACCAUCAAAGAUCAAUAUGUGCAUGAUGCUGAAUUUAAAGAUCUAUUACAGAAUUGUAAAGAAGGUAGAACAUGGAACAAGUUCGUCAUUAAUGAUGGAUUUGUGUUUCGUGCUAACAAGCUAUGCAUUCCAGCUAGCUCCGUUCGUCUUUUGUUAUUGCAGGAGGCGCAUGGAGGAGGACUAA
rnacentral:rRNA from 1 species